GAUGAACGCUAGCUACAGGCUUAACACAUGCAAGUCGAGGGGCAGCACAGAGAUAGCUUGCUAUCUUGGGUGGCGACCGGCGCACGGGUGAGUAACGCGUAUCCAACCUGCCCAUUACUCAGGGAUAGCCUUGCGAAAGUAAGAUUAAUACCUGAUGUUGUUUGAUUGCCGCAUGACGAUCAAACCAAAGAUUUAUUGGUAAUGGAUGGGGAUGCGUGACAUUAGGGUAGUUGGUGAGGUAACGGCUCACCAAGCCCACGAUGUCUAGGGGUUCUGAGAGGAAGGUCCCCCCANACUGGAACUGAGACACGGUCCAGACUCCUACGGGAGGCAGCAGUGAGGAAUAUUGGUCAAUGGACGAGAGUCUGAACCAGCCAAGUAGCGUGCAGGAUGACGGCCCUCUGGGUUGUAAACUUCUUUUGUUUGGGAAUAAAUGAUACUACGUGUAGUAUUUUGCAUGUACCUUACGAAUAAGCAUCGGCUAA
rnacentral:rRNA from 1 species